UGCCUGGUCGUCUAACGGCUCAAGAUUUCGGAAUUUGACUCCGAAGAUAAAGGUUCGAUUCCUUUCCGGGCAU
rnacentral:tRNA from 1 species